rnacentral:lncRNA from 1 species
CUAAAAUUACUCUUCAUGUUAAGAUCAUGUACUUAAAGAAAAAAGAUCAUGCACUUUAAAUUAAGAGUGCACAUAUAUACUCCUAUUGGCACAUUUUACAAAGAAAAAAGUUUAAUCAGUUGCUCUGAUCCAGCGGUUCAACCGGGCCGGACCAAAAUAGUCUGGUUGCUUUUGGGUUAGACCACUGGACCGAAUCAAAG